CUUACCUACUGCCUUCUGC
rnacentral:miRNA from 1 species